AAUACCCUAUUAUUUUAAAAGUAAUUAAAUAAAUCUAAUUAGUAGUAGUUAAGUUCUUGAAAAUUAAAGAAUUUGGCGGUAUUUUAGUCUAUUCAGAGGAAUCUGUCCUAUAAUUGAUAAUCCACGAUUUUUUAUACCUAAUUUAUUAAUUUACAUAUCGCCGUAGUUUGAAUAUUUUUAAAAAAUUAUAAUAUUCAUAAUUUAUUUUGAUAAAAAAAAUCAGGUCAAGGUGUAGUUUAUAAUUGGGAAGAGAUGGGUUACAAUAAAAAUACUUAUUAUGGAUUAAUUAAUUAAAUUUUUUUAUGAAGGUGGAUUUGAAAGUAAUUUUAUUUA
rnacentral:rRNA from 1 species